rnacentral:rRNA from 1 species
GAUGAACGCUGGUGGCGUGCCUAAUACAUGCAAGUCGAGCGAACAGAUGAGGAGCUUGCUCCUCUGACGUUAGCGGCGGACGGGUGAGUAACACGUGGAUAACCUACCUAUAAGACUGGGAUAACUUCGGGAAACCGGAGCUAAUACCGGAUAAUAUAUUGAACCGCAUGGUUCAAUAAUGAAAGACGGUUUUGCUGUCACUUAUAGAUGGAUCCGCGCCGCAUUAGCUAGUUGGUAAGGUAACGGCUUACCAAGGCAACGAUGCGUAGCCGACCUGAGAGGGUGAUCGGCCACACUGGAACUGAGACACGGUCCAGACUCCUACGGGAGGCAGCAGUAGGGAAUCUUCCGCAAUGGGCGAAAGCCUGACGGAGCAACGCCGCGUGAGUGAUGAAGGUCUUCGGAUCGUAAAACUCUGUUAUUAGGGAAGAACAAAUGUGUAAGUAACUAUGCACGUCUUGACGGUACCUAAUCAGAAAGCCACGGCUAACUACGUG